rnacentral:rRNA from 1 species
AACAGGAUUAGAUACCCUGGUAGUCCACGCUGUAAACGAUGUCGACUUGGAGGUUGUGCCCUUGAGGCGUGGCUUCCGGAGCUAACGCGUUAAGUCGACCGCCUGGGGAGUACGGCCGCAAGGUUAAAACUCAAAUGAAUUGACGGGGGCCCGCACAAGCGGUGGAGCAUGUGGUUUAAUUCGAUGCAACGCGAAGAACCUUACCUACUCUUGACAUCCAGAGAAUUUGCUAGAGAUAGCUUAGUGCCUUCGGGAACUCUGAGACAGGUGCUGCAUGGCUGUCGUCAGCUCGUGUUGUGAAAUGUUGGGUUAAGUCCCGCAACGAGCGCAACCCUUAUCCUUUGUUGCCAGCACGUAAUGGUGGGAACUCAAAGGAGACUGCCGGUGAUAAACCGGAGGAAGGUGGGGAUGACGUCAAGUCAUCAUGGCCCUUACGAGUAGGGCUACACACGUGCUACAAUGGCAUAUACAAAGAGAAGCGAACUCGCGAGAGCAAGCGGACCCCAUAAAGUAUGUCGUAGUCCGGAUUGGAGUCUGCAACUCGACUCCAUGAAGUCGGAAUCGCUAGUAAUCGUAGAUCAGAAUGCUACGGUGAAUACGUUCCCGGGCCUUGUACACACCGCCCGUCACACCAUGGGAGUGGGUUGCAAAAGAAGUAGGUAGCUUAACCUUCGGGAGGGCGCUUACCACUUUGUGAUUCAUGACUGGGGUGAAGUCGUAACAAGGUAACC